rnacentral:sRNA from 2 species
CCAUGAUUGUGUAGUCCCGAAUGAUUCCUCUGUGUAACCCUUAACAUUCUUCCACCCCGCGCCCCGCGGUUGCGUGACCUCCAAUAUUCUUCUGUUCCAAUUCCUUCUCUAUAAGAACCCCUUUGUAUGAUCUUUUCUUCUGAUCUCUUUUCUCUUUCUUUCCUCAAUCAAUUUGUAAUCUGUAUUAGGAUAGUGCUUAGUCGGUCAAUCGGUAGUACACCCGUUACAUUGAUAGAAAAUGGGAGAAUAGUUCAAGGUAAAUGAGUCUAAUUUAAUCUCAACUAUGUGUUGAACUACUUUGGAACUAGUGUAUAUUGAUCAGAAGUCACAAAAGUUUCAAACUUUUUGCAUAGCACUGUAGUAGAAAGGGAUGAACAAUAGUAAUAUUAGUAGAUAGUAUAGUAAAUAGUAGUUAAUUACUAUAAGAGAAGGAAGAGAAGAAAAGAAAGAAGA